rnacentral:rRNA from 1 species
AGAGUUUGAUCAUGGCUCAGGAUGAACGCUAGCUACAGGCUUAACACAUGCAAGUCGAGGGGAAACGACAUCGAAAGCUUGCUUUUGAUGGGCGUCGACCGGCGCACGGGUGAGUAACGCGUAUCCAACCUGCCCACCACUUGGGGAUAACCUUGCGAAAGUAAGACUAAUACCCAAUGACGUCUCUAGAAGACAUCUGAAAGAGAUUAAAGAUUUAUCGGUGAUGGAUGGGGAUGCGCCUGAUUAGCUUGUUGGCGGGGUAACGCCACCAAGGCUACGAUCAGUAGGGGUUCUGAGAGGAAGGUCCCCCANAUUGGAACUGAGACACGGUCCAAACUCCUACGGGAGCA